GCGGCGGUCAGCCCCGCCUACUUCCUCUUUCUCUCGGAGCGGGCGGCGGCGGCAGUGGUAGCGUCGGCGUCGGCGGCCUGUGCAGCAAUGGCCAAGAUCAAGGCUCGAGAUCUUCGUGGGAAGAAGAAGGAGGAGCUGCUGAAACAGCUGGACGACCUGAAGGUGGAGCUGUCCCAGCUGCGCGUCGCCAAAGUGACAGGUGGUGCGGCCUCCAAGCUUUCUAAGAUGUAAGUGAGGCGGCCGGAUCACGCCCUCGUGGGUGGGGAGCACGUGUGCAUCGGGAUCGUCGGAGGAUUUCAAAGUUGGCUUAAGGAGCUGGCCGCUUAGAUGCCCACUCCGUGCAUCCUGGGGCGCAUGGGAGACCCGUUGUGUGCUUAGCCUCUUGCCUACCUUGACCUUGCGGUCCUUGUGCCUGGAGUGCAUCCCCGGAGACCCAUCUUAAUGCUGCCUUCAAAGCCUACCCGGACCCAUUCCUUCAGCUUCCCACCAACACUUGAGUUUUUAAUUCACCUUUCCCCCCUUGGCAGGUGGGUGGCUUGCACCCUGGAGUGGCAGCGUAAGUUAUUUUACAUGGCUAAGAGUGCGGGAGACUUGUGAAAGGAACAUGGGUUUGUAGUUCAUCAACCUGGGUACAAAGUCCACUUCUCAAAAAAAAUUAGAUGGGUGUAGUGAUGG
rnacentral:sRNA from 1 species